UACGUAGGGUGCAAGCGUUAAUCGGAAUUACUGGGCGUAAAGCGUGCGCAGGCGGUUAUGCAAGACAGAGGUGAAAUCCCCGGGCUCAACCUGGGAACUGCCUUUGUGACUGCAUAGCUAGAGUACGGUAGAGGGGGAUGGAAUUCCGCGUGUAGCAGUGAAAUGCGUAGAUAUGCGGAGGAACACCGAUGGCGAAGGCAGCCCCCUGGGCCGACAUUGACGCUCAGGCACGAAAGCGUGGGGAGCAAACAGG
rnacentral:rRNA from 1 species